rnacentral:rRNA from 1 species
AACGAACGCUGGCGGCAUGCCUAACACAUGCAAGUCGAACGAGACCUUCGGGUCUAGUGGCGCACGGGUGCGUAACGCGUGGGAACCUGCCCUUAGGUUCGGAAUAACUCCUCGAAAGGGGUGCUAAUACCGGAUAAUGUCUUCGGACCAAAGAUUUAUCGCCUUUGGAUGGGCCCGCGUUGGAUUAGCUAGUUGGUAGGGUAAAAGCCUACCAAGGCGACGAUCCAUAGCUGGUCUGAGAGGAUGAUCAGCCACACUGGGACUGAGACACGGUCCAGACUCCUACGGGAGGCAGCAGUGGGGAAUAUUGGACAAUGGGCGAAAGCCUGAUCCAGCAAUGCCGCGUGAGUGAUGAAGGCCUUAGGGUUGUAAAGCUCUUUUACCCGGGAUGAUAAUGACAGUACCGGGAGAAUAAGCUCCGGCUAACUCCGUG